CGUGAGUGAAGAAGGCCUUCGGGUUGUAAAGCUCUUUCAGCAGGAACGAAACGGUGGCUACUAAUACUAGCUACUAAUGACGGUACCUGAAGAAGAAGCACCGGCUAACUACGUGCCAGCAGCCGCGGUAAUACGUAGGGUGCGAGCGUUAAUCGGAAUUACUGGGCGUAAAGCGUGCGCAGGCGGUUAUGUAAGACAGGUGUGAAAUCCCCGGGCUUAACCUGGGAACUGCGCUUGUGACUGCAUAACUCGAGUGUGGCAGAGGGGGGUGGAAUUCCACGUGUAGCAGUGAAAUGCGUAGAGAUGUGGAGGAACACCGAUGGCGAAGGCAGCCCCCUGGGUCAACACUGACGCUCAUGCACGAAAGCGUGGGGAGCAAACAGGAUUAGAUACCCUGGUAGUCCACGCCCCUUAAAACGAUGCGAACUAGGUGUUGGGGAAGAGACUUCUUAGUACCGCAGCUAACGCGU
rnacentral:rRNA from 1 species